UGGAGAAGAAACUUGAGCAGGAACUU
rnacentral:piRNA from 1 species